rnacentral:rRNA from 1 species
ACGCACGCUGGCGGCGUGCCUAAUACAUGCAAGUAGAACGCUGAAGGCGGAGCUUGCUUCUCUGGAUGAGUUGCGAACGGGUGAGUAACGCGUAGGUAACCUGCCUGGUAGCGGGGGAUAACUAUUGGAAACGAUAGCUAAUACCGCAUAAUAGUAGAUGUUGCAUGACAUUUGCUUAAAAGGUGCAAUUGCAUCACUACCAGAUGGACCUGCGUUGUAUUAGCUAGUUGGUGGGGUAACGGCUCACCAAGGCGACGAUACAUAGCCGACCUGAGAGGGUGAUCGGCCACACUGGGACUGAGACACGGCCCAGACUCCUACGGGAGGCAGCAGUAGGGAAUCUUCGGCAAUGGACGGAAGUCUGACCGAGCAACGCCGCGUGAGUGAAGAAGGUUUUCGGAUCGUAAAGCUCUGUUGUAAGAGAAGAACGAGUGUGAGAGUGGAAAGUUCACACUGUGACGGUAUCUUACCAGAAAGGGACGGCUAACUACGUG